UACAGAGGUCCCAAGCGUUGUUCGGAUUCAUUGGGCGUAAAGGGUGCGUAGGCGGCGCGGUAAGUCGGGUGUGAAAUCUCGGAGCUUAACUCCGAAACUGCAUUCGAUACUGCCGUGCUUGAGGACUGGAGAGGAGACUGGAAUUUACGGUGUAGCGGUGAAAUGCGUAGAUAUCGUGAGGAAGACCAGUGGCGAAGGCGAGUCUCUGGACGACUCCUGACACUGAGGCACGAAAGCUAGGGGAGCAAACAGG
rnacentral:rRNA from 1 species